rnacentral:rRNA from 1 species
UUAAGUUAAUAAGGGCGCACGGUGGAUGCCUUGGCACUAGAAGCCGAAGAAGGACGUGACUAACGACGAAAUGCUUUGGGGAGCUGUAAGUAAGCGCUGAUCCAGAGAUGUCCGAAUGGGGGAACCCACUAGUUAAUGACUAGUAUCCAUAUCUGUUAAGGAUAUGAGAAGGAAGACGCAGUGAACUGAAACAUCUAAGUAGCUGCAGGAAGAGAAAGCAAAAGCGAUUGCCUUAGUAGCGGCGAGCGAAACGGCAGGAGGGCAAACCGAAGUGUUUACACUUCGGGUUGUAGGACUGCGAUAUAGGAUUAAUCAUUAUAGAAGAAUUACCUGGGAAGGUAAGCCAAAGAGAGUAACAGCCUCGUAUUUAAAAUGAUAGAUUAACCUUAGCAGUAUCCUGAGUACGGCGAGACACGCGAAAUCUCGUCGGAAUCUGGGAGGACCAUCUCCCAACCCUAAAUACUCUCUAGUGACCGAUAGUGAACCAGUACCGUGAGGGAAAGGUGAAAAGCACCCCCGGGAGGGGAGUGAAAUAGAACCUGAAACCGUGUGCCUACAACAAGUUCGAGCCCGUUAAUGGGUGAGAGCGUGCCUUUUGUAGAAUGAACCGGCGAGUUACGAUAUGAUGCGAGGUUAAGUUGAAGAGACGGAGCCGUAGGGAAACCGAGUCUUAAUAGGGCGCCAUAGUAUCAUGUUGUAGACCCGAAACCAUGUGACCUACCCAUGAGCAGGUUGAAGGUGAGGUAAAACUCACUGGAGGACCGAACCAGGGCACGUUGAAAAGUGCUUGGAUGACUUGUGGGUAGCGGAGAAAUUCCAAACGAACUUGGAGAUAGCUGGUUCUCUCCGAAAUAGCUUUAGGGCUAGCGUCGAUGUUAAGUCUCUUGGAGGUAGAGCACUGUUUGGGUGAGGGGUCCAUCCCGGAUUACCAAUCUCAGAUAAACUCCGAAUGCCAACGAGAUAUAAUCGGCAGUCAGACUGCGAGUGCUAAGAUCCGUAGUCGAAAGGGAAACAGCCCAGACCACCAGCUAAGGUCCCAAAAUAUAUGUUAAGUGGAAAAGGAUGUGGGGUUGCACAGACAACUAGGAUGUUAGCUUAGAAGCAGCUAUUCAUUCAAAGAGUGCGUAAUAGCUCACUAGUCGAGUGACCCUGCGCCGAAAAUGUACCGGGGCUAAAACAUAUUACCGAAGCUGUGGAUGACACAAAAGUGUCAUGGUAGGAGAGCGUUCUAUGUGUGAAGAAGGUGUACCGUGAGGAGCGCUGGAACGCAUAGAAGUGAGAAUGCCGGUAUGAGUAGCGCAAGACAGGUGAGAAUCCUGUCCACCGUAAGACUAAGGUUUCCAGGGGAAGGCUCGUCCGCCCUGGGUUAGUCGGGACCUAAGGAGAGACCGAAAGGUGUAUCCGAUGGACAACAGGUUGAUAUUCCUGUACUAGAGUAUAUAGUGAUGGAGGGACGCAGUAGGCUAACUAAACCAGACGAUUGGAAGUGUCUGGUCAAACAGUGAGGUGUGAUAUGAGUCAAAUGCUUAUAUCUUUAACAUUGAGCUGUGACGAGGAGCGAGUUUAGUAGCGAAGUUAGUGAUGUCACACUGCCAAGAAAAGCUUCUAGCGAUACAUAUACUCUACCCGUACCGCAAACCGACACAGGUAGUCGAGGCGAGUAGCCUCAGGUGAGCGAGAGAACUCUCGUUAAGGAACUCGGCAAAUGGCCCGUAACUUCGGGAGAAGGGCGCUGAUUUUAGAUCAGCCGCAGUGAAUAGGCCCAAGCAACUGUUUAUCAAAAACACAGCUCUCUGCUAAAUCGUAAGAUGAUGUAUAGGGGGUGACGCCUGCCCGGUGCUGGAAGGUUAAGAGGAGUGCUUAGCGUAAGCGAAGGUAUGAAUUGAAGCCCCAGUAAACGGCGGCCGUAACUAUAACGGUCCUAAGGUGCGAAAUUCCUUGUCGGGUAAGUUCCGACCCGCACGAAAGGCGUAAUGAUUUGGGCACUGUCUCAACGAGAGACUCGGUGAAAUUUAGUACCUGUGAAGAUGCAGGUUACCCGCGACAGGACGGAAAGACCCCAUGGAGCUUUACUGCAGUUUGAUAUUGAGUAUCUGUACCACAUGUACAGGAUAGGUAGGAGCCUAUGAUAACGGGACGCCAGUUUCGUUUGAGGCGUUGUUGGGAUACUACCCUUGUGUUAUGGCUACUCUAACCCAGAUAGGCAAUCCCUAUCGGAGACAGUGUCUGACGGGCAGUUUGACUGGGGCGGUCGCCUCCUAAAAGGUAACGGAGGCGCCCAAAGGUUCCCUCAGACUGGUUGGAAAUCAGUCGUAGAGUGUAAAGGUAUAAGGGAGCUUGACUGCGAGAGCUACAACUCGAGCAGGGACGAAAGUCGGGCUUAGUGAUCCGGUGGUUCCGUAUGGAAGGGCCAUCGCUCAACGGA